rnacentral:lncRNA from 1 species
GAAAUAGAGCAUACCUGAUUGGGGAGGAUCGAUUGAAAUUGAGUUGCACCCGUGAGGUUUGCAGAGCAAUGUGGACCUGUGGGCUCAAAUGAGAGAGACCCAAGUCCAAAUUUUUUUUUGUUAUAUUUUAUUUAUUUAUUUAUUUUAUUUUUUUUCGUUUUCCCUUUUUUUUUUUAGUAAACAAAAGUAAGAGAAACAAUGAUGUAUAAUUCAAGCAUGCUUGGUGAUCUCAAACCAAUCACAAGGAGUCCCACCCAAAGGCAAAGGGAACCAAGAUGCUCAUGAUCCUU